rnacentral:lncRNA from 1 species
GUAAAAGGAAAAGACUGCUUAGGAACACACGAACAGACUGCAAAGCAUUCAUUAUUUUCAAAAAAGUAGAAAAUAUAUGGGUAGUUACAACAUUCAAUCAUGAACACAAUCAUGAUUUGGCGACUCCGUCGAAAAAAAGACUUCUUGCAGUAAACAGAAAAAUUGAACCAUUCAUACGUAAUAUCAUCCAUGAUCUUGAAGAUUCAAAUAUAACGUCAAAUCAACAAUUUUCUUACACUACAAAAAAAGGACCUUGUAUGGAGGUCUUUAGAUAUCCGCCAUCUAAAGUGAUAGUCGGCGGAAAUUCGUUAUCUAAAGACCGCCAUCUAGGAAACCGUCAUUAAAACCCCAUAACCGCCAUCCAAAGACCGCUAUCUAUUAUCCAUCCCCAUUUCUCACCAAAAAUUGUAUAGAUCGCCAUCUAAUCUGAAAUUUUUUGCGGGAACUGAAAAUUUUUAGAUGGCGGAAAUCCGUCAUCUAAAAUAUGACGCGGAAAAAGUUUGGCGUCAAUUCAUUGAUGACGGUUAAUUUUAUUGAUGGCGGAUGUCCGCCGACUAUCUUUGUAACAUUAGAUGACGGAUUUCCG